UACGUAGGGGGCAAGCGUUAUCCGGAAUUACUGGGUGUAAAGGGAGCGUAGACGGUAAUGUAAGUCUGGAGUGAAAGGCGGGGGCCCAACCCCCGGACUGCUCUGGAAACUAUGUUACUAGAGUGCAGGAGAGGUAAGUGGAAUUCCUAGUGUAGCGGUGAAAUGCGUAGAUAUUAGGAGGAACACCAGUGGCGAAGGCGGCUUGCUGGACUGUAACUGACGUUGAGGCUCGAAAGCGUGGGGAGCAAACAGG
rnacentral:rRNA from 1 species